rnacentral:tRNA from 1 species
UGGCACAGUAGUUAAGUGUUUGGCUGCUAACCAAAAGGUCAGUGGUUCAAAUCCACU